AAAACAAAACACAAGGAAGGAAUUAUGAAAGCAACAAAAAGAAAGGGAAAAAAAGUCCUUAACCUACAGGGGAAGACAGAUUAGGUUUGCAGCAGGACUAUUCACAG